AACGAACGCUGGCGGCGUGCCUAACACAUGCAAGUCGAGCGAGAAAGCCCGCAAGGGUGAGUAAAGCGGCGCACGGGUGCGUAACACGUGGGUAAUCUGCCCUGAAGUCCGGAAUAACCCGCCGAAAGGCGUGCUAAUGCCGGAUGAGACCACGGGAGCCUCGGCUCCUGCGGUAAAAGGUGGCCUCUGUAUACAAGCUAUCACUUCAGGAUGAGCCCGCGGCCCAUCAGCUCGUUGGCGGGGUAAUGGCCCACCAAGGCUACGACGGGUAGCUGGUGGGAGAGGACGAUCAGCCACACUGGAACUGAGACACGGUCCAGACUCGUACGGGGGGCAGCAGUGGGGAAUCUUGCGCAAUGGGCGAAAGCCUGACGCAGCAACGCCGCGUGUGUGAUGAAGGUCUUCGGAUCGUAAAGCACUGUCGCGAGGGACGAAUAAGGGGCGAGCUAACAUCUCGUUCCGAUGACGGUACCUCGAGAGGAAGCACCGGCUAACUCUGUGCCAGCAGCCGCCGUAAAAC
rnacentral:rRNA from 1 species